rnacentral:rRNA from 1 species
AUGUAGGGCAUGGCGCUAGCCCUACAACACACGGAACUUCCGGUCAUUAUGCAGUCGGACUCGUCCACUGCCCUAACUAUCUUCAGUGAUGGGUCCCUAGUCCAGUCUCCAUAUGGACAUAUGGCAUUGGAGAUUCUAGCCUUACAAGAAAUUCGGGAGUUUAUUCCGCAAAAGCUUCAUCGUUCUCAGAAUAAAGUGGUAGGUUGUUUAGCGAGGUAUAGUCGUACUGAAUGUAGCACUAAUGUUUGGCUACACAAAGGGCCUUCAUGUAUGCAGGAAUUCUUGCCUCUGCACUGUAACUCUAUAAUUUUGCAAUAA